CCUACGGGAGGCAGCAGUAGGGAAUCUUCCACAAUGGGCGAAAGCCUGAUGGAGCAACGCCGCGUGAGUGAUGAAGGCCUUCGGGUUGUAAAACUCUGUCAUUCGGGACGAACCGGAGUCUGAGGAAAUGCAGACUCUCUGACGGUACCGGAGGAGGAAGCCCCGGCUAACUACGUGCCAGCAGCCGCGGUAAUACGUAGGGGGCAAGCGUUGUCCGGAUUCACUGGGCGUAAAGCGCGCGCAGGCGGUGAUGUAAGUCUGAGGUGAAAACCCGAAGCUCAACUUCGGGACUGCCUUGGAUACUGCGUCACUUGAGGAUAGGAGAGGCAAGGGGAAUUCCACGUGUAGCGGUGAAAUGCGUAGAGAUGUGGAGGAACACCUGUGGCGAAGGCGCCUUGCUGGCCUAUUUCUGACGCUGAGGCGCGAAAGCGUGGGGAGCAAACAGGAUUAGAUACCCUGGUAGUCCACGCUGUAAACGAUGAGUGCUAGGUGUAGGUGGGCUCAUACCCAUCUGUGCCGAAGCUAACGCAUUAAGCACUCCGCCUGGGGAGUACGGUCGCAGACUGAAACUCAAAUGAA
rnacentral:rRNA from 1 species